rnacentral:rRNA from 1 species
GACGAACGCUGGCGGCGUGCCUAAUACAUGCAAGUAGAACGCUGAAGGAGGAGCUUGCUUCUCUGGAUGAGUUGCGAACGGGUGAGUAACGCGUAGGUAACCUGCCUGGUAGCGGGGGAUAACUAUUGGAAACGAUAGCUAAUACCGCAUAAGAGUAGAUGUCGCAUGACAUUUGCUUAAAAGGUGCAAUUGCAUCACUACCAGAUGGACCUGCGUUGUAUUAGCUAGUUGGUGAGGUAACGGCUCACCAAGGCAACGAUACAUAGCCGACCUGAGAGGGUGAUCGGCCACACUGGGACUGAGACACGGCCCAGACUCCUACGGGAGGCAGCAGUAGGGAAUCUUCGGCAAUGGACGGAAGUCUGACCGAGCAACGCCGCGUGAGUGAAGAAGGUUUUCGGAUCGUAAAGCUCUGUUGUAAGAGAAGAACGAGUGUGAGAGUGGAAAGUUCACACU